AAUUCAUAAUGUGGGCAUCUCUGAAUCAGCGUCUUAAAACGCUCCUAAGCUUCAUGGAAACUCUCUCCUUCUAGCUGCUUGAAAGUUGCAAUCUCUUUUAUUAGUU
rfam:Gossypium raimondii Chr07_contig_603, whole genome shotgun sequence.